ACCUCUCAUAGUUGUUUUAAAGAGAUAUUCCUAUGAGAAUAGCAGUAGUUAGCCAGACACCAAAUCUCAAAUACACUAUGGAUUGUUGGGUGCAGAUUUUCAGCUUCCUGAUUAUCAGUGUCACAGUCACAGUGUCCAGUGGAGAAAUUGUGCUCACUCAGUCUCCAACAACCAUGGCUGCAUCUCCGGGUGAGAAGGUCACCAUCACCUGCCAUGCCAGCUCCAGUGUAAGUUACAUGCACUGGUACCAGCAGAAGCCAGGCGCCUCCCCUAAACCCUGGAUUUAUGCCACAUCCACACUGGCUUCUGGAGUCCCAGAUCGCUUCAGUGGCAGUGGGUCUGGGACCUCUUAUUCUCUCACAAUCAACAACGUGGAGGCUGAAGAUGCUGCCACUUAUUACUGCCAGCAGUGGAAUUAUCCACCCACACAGUGA